GUGCCAGCCGCCGCGGUAAUACGGAGGGGGCUAGCGUUGUUCGGAAUUACUGGGCGUAAAGCGUACGUAGGCGGCUUUGUAAGUUAGAGGUGAAAGCCCGGGGCUCAACCCCGGAAUUGCCUUUAAGACUGCAUCGCUUGAACGUCGGAGAGGUGAGUGGAAUUCCGAGUGUAGAGGUGAAAUUCGUAGAUAUUCGGAAGAACACCAGUGGCGAAGGCGGCUCACUGGACGACUGUUGACGCUGAGGUACGAAAGCGUGGGGAGCAAACAGGAUUAGAUACCCCCGUAGUCC
rnacentral:rRNA from 1 species